GACGAACGCUGGCGGCGUGCCUAAUACAUGCAAGUCGAGCGCAGGAAGUCGACGGAACCCUUCGGGGGGAAGUCGACGGAAUGAGCGGCGGACGGGUGGGUAACACGUAAAGAACCUGCCCUCAGGUCUGGGAUAACCACGAGAAAUCGGGGCUAAUACCGGAUGGGUCAUCGGACCGCAUGGUCCGAGGAUGAAAGGCGCUCCGGCGUCGCCUGGGGAUGGCUUUGCGGUGCAUUAGCUAGUUGGUGGGGUAAUGGCCCACCAAGGCGACGCUGCAUAGCCGACCUGAGAGGGUGAUCGGCCACACUGGGACUGGGACACGGCCCAGACGCCUACGGGAGGCAGCAGUAGGGAAUCUUCCACAAUGGACGAAAGUCUGAUGGAGCAACGCCGCGUGAACGAUGAAGGCCUUCGGGUCGUAAAGUUCUGUUGUAAGGGAAGAACAAGUGCCGCAGGCAAUGGCGGCACCUUGACGGUACCUUGCGAGAAAGCCACGGCUAACUACGUGCCAGCCGCCGCGGUAAAAC
rnacentral:rRNA from 1 species